UGGAGAGUUUGAUCCUGGCUCAGGACGAACGCUGGCGGCGUGCUUAACACAUGCAAGUCGAACGGAAAGGCCUCUUCGGAGGUACUCGAGUGGCGAACGGGUGAGUAACACGUGGGUAAUCUGCCCUGCACUUCGGGAUAAGCCUGGGAAACUGGGUCUAAUACCGGAUAUGACCUUUUGGCGCAUGCCUUUUGGUGGAAAGCUUUUGCGGUGUGGGAUGGGCCCGCGGCCUAUCAGCUUGUUGGUGGGGUGAUGGCCUACCAAGGCGACGACGGGUAGCCGGCCUGAGAGGGUGUCCGGCCACACUGGGACUGAGAUACGGCCCAGACUCCUACGGGAGGCAGCAGUGGGGAAUAUUGCACAAUGGGCGCAAGCCUGAUGCAGCGACGCCGCGUGGGGGAUGACGGCCUUCGGGUUGUAAACCUCUUUCAGCAGGGACGAAGCGCAAGUGACGUACCUGCAGAAGAAGCACCGGCCAACUACGUGCCAGCAGCCGCGGUA
rnacentral:rRNA from 1 species